UACGUAGGGUGCGAGCGUUGUCCGGAAUUAUUGGGCGUAAAGAGCUCGUAGGCGGCUUGUCGCGUCGGAUGUGAAAGCCCGGGGCUUAACUCCGGGUCUGCAUUCGAUACGGGCAGGCUAGAGUUCGGUAGGGGAGAUCGGAAUUCCUGGUGUAGCGGUGAAAUGCGCAGAUAUCAGGAAGAACACCCGUGGCUAAGGCGGCUCUCUAGUACGGUACUGACGCUGAGACGCGAAAGCGUGGGGAGCGAACAGG
rnacentral:rRNA from 1 species